CCUUUCCUCAGUCCCCGCUGCAGCCUCACGUGUUCCUGACUUGUGCUGCACUCUGGGAAUCUGGCCAGGACUUUGUCCCCAUCUUUCCCCUUCGUGCUCUGUAAAUGUGUGAGUGAGGAAGAAGGAGGGGGAGGAAGAGGAGGAGGACGUCAGCACUGGAGCCCAAUGAGUCACAUUGUUCCUCAUUCCAACAAAUUUGAUGAAUCAACUUCACUGAAAGCUGAGGGUUGCUGGACUGGAACUGGAGCUGGUGUCACACUGACGCCACACCCUGGACGGUUUGGAUAAACCCAAAGACUUCCAUUCAAAUCACCUCACUGUGAACACACCAACUGCCUCAGGUCCAGCUUGCCUUUUUUUUACAUUGUUUUGUAAGAUUACCCACAAUGCAAAUCUCUCAAAAUCCCAUAGGCAAAGAGAGGUUUGUGGCUCGGAAGUAGAUUAGAAUAAAAACAAACAAAAAUAAUAGAGAAGGAGUUUUCCUUUAGGACUGAGCUUGUUGUAAAUUAAUGGAUGAAAUUUAGAUCUGUUACUAAAUCUACAAAUGUAGCUACAAAUGUGCUCAUUAUGAACGUACUUUAACUACAGUUUAACAUUUUCAUCAAAUAUACCAAAGUUCAUGCUGGUGUCAGAUUAGUUUCCGUUUGUGUAGAUCGUACUCUGACCGUUACUGCCUGCCAUAGUCCAGUACACAGACUUGGGCCUGUUUUACAGUGCACAAUAAUAAAUUAAUAAUAAACCUCCUGGUGCUGCAGGAGCUCGCUUUAAUAGAACACAUCGGAAAACACAAAGGUAUUGAAAUUCAGGUCAUGUUUAAAUUAGUAGAAAAUUAAUUUUCUCCCAAAGGGAAACAAAUACAGAUGGACAGUUCUUAGCCAGCAGGGUCUCCACCUGAUACUGGAGACCCCUAGUGACCCCGCCCCCUUUUUUCCCAUUGGUCUGUUUUUUUUUUCAUGGUCGGAUUCUGUUUCUACCUGAUAAAGAGGAUUAAAAUUGUUGCCCAAUAGAGGUGGAAACUAAAUCCUGGUCUGUUUCAGCACCGUCUGUCAUUUUGGCACAGCAUCAGUGGCAAUGUUCUGUUUUGGUUUUUUUGUCUUUUUUUUACAUCAUGUGGAAUCACUCGUACUGUGAAUUGGAAAUUUGUUUUUGCUUUUCAUAUCUUCAUGAAACUCUGGUUUGCUGAUGAGAAACUUUUGUUUUAGGAUUCUUCUUCUUCAAAAACAAAUAUAGAAAUAUAGUAAAAUAGACCGUGUGUUCCAGGAUGAUUGUUGAGGAUAUGCAUUUAUUUUUGUUAAAACUUUGAGAAUGUAAAGUUGUAAAGUUACAGGAAGGCACUUAUGAAAACAAGUUAAAUUAUAGCAAUUGUAAUAAACAUUAAAUAAGUGAUUGAA